rnacentral:rRNA from 1 species
CUCGUAGGCGGCUCAGCAAGUCGGCCGUGAAAGCCCAGAGCUCAACUCUGGGAUGCCGGUCGAUACUGCUGUGGCUAGGGUCCGGUAGAGGAGAGUGGAAUUCCCGGUGUAGCGGUGAAAUGCGCAGAUAUCGGGAGGAACACCAGUAGCGAAGGCGGCUCUCUGGGCCGGUACCGACGCUGAGGAGCGAAAGCUAGGGGAGCAAACA